GAUGAAGAACGUAGCGAAAUGCGAUAAGUAAUGUGAAUUGCAGAAUUCAGUGAAUCAUCGAAUCUUUGAACGCACAUUGCGCCCCCUGGUAUUCCGGGGUCAUGCCUGUUCGAGCGUCAUUUCACCACUCAAGCCUCGCUUGGUAUUGGGCAACGCGGUCCGCCGCGUGCCUCAAAUCGACCGGCUGGGUCUUCUGUCCCCUAAGCGUUGUGGAAACUAUUCGCUAAAGGGUGUUCGGGAGGCUACGCCGUAAAACAACCCCAUUUCUAAGGUUGACCUCGGAUCAGGUAGGGAUACCCGCUGAACUUAAGCAUAUCAAUAAGCGGAGGA
rnacentral:misc_RNA from 1 species